GCGGGUAUAGUUGAAAGGCUCAACGCGUCCCUUCCAAGGAUGAGAUAGGGGUUCAAUUCCCCUUACCCGCU
rnacentral:tRNA from 1 species